rnacentral:rRNA from 1 species
UACGUAGGGACCGAGCGUUGUCCGGAAUCAUUGGGCGUAAAGAGCGUGUAGGCGGCUCGCUAAGUCUUGCGUGAAAUCUCGGGGCUCAACCCCGAGCGGUCGUGAGAAACUGGCGGGCUAGAGUGCGGGAGAGGAGAGUGGGAUUCCUGGUGUAGCGGUGAAAUGCGCAGAUAUCAGGAAGAACACCCGUGGCGAAGGCGGCUUACUGGGCUGUAACUGACGCUGAGGCACGAAAGUGUGGGGAUCAAACAGG